rnacentral:rRNA from 1 species
CCCAGACUCCUACGGGAGGCAGCAGUGAGGAAUAUUGGUCAAUGGGGGAGAUCCUGAACCAGCCAAGCCGCGUGAGGGAAGACGGCCCUAUGGGUUGUAAACCUCUUUUGUCGGAGAACAAAACCCGGGACGAGUCCCGGACUGCGUGUAUCCGAAGAAAAAGCAUCGGCUAACUCCGUGCCAGCAGCCGCGGUAAUACGGAGGAUGCGAGCGUUAUCCGGAUUUAUUGGGUUUAAAGGGUGCGCAGGCGGCCCGGCAGGCCGGCGGUAAAACCGCGGGGCUAACCCCCGCCAAGCCGUCGGACCUGCCGGGCUAGAGUGGGCGAGAAGUGCGCGGAAUGCGUGGUGUAGCGGUGAAAUGCAUAGAUAUCCCGCAGAACUCCGAUUGCGAAG